rnacentral:tRNA from 1 species
UGUUAAGUAGCUGAAAUGACAGCACUGGCCUUUUAAGCCAGAAAUGGUGGCUCACAAUCACCCUUAAUAG